UCUCUCCCUAAUGGUGGUGCGAAAAACAAAGAUGUAGAUAUGGAAGGAAUGUGACCUGAAUGUUUAAGCUCUUCCUGGUCAUAAGUCAGUCUGCUAACUCUCAGCUGAAGAAUGGAAGGAAUAAAAUUGCUUUCUGUCAUGAAUUACUCCUCCUCGAUCGGCCGCUGCGCUGUGUUUUUCUUCAUAGCCAUCUUCCUGGAUGUAGUCGGCCUCAUCCUCUUCCUCAUUGGGAUUGCAGCUCGCAUCAGUUAUUGGGACUUUUUUGUCCUCUCAGGGCCGCUAAUCAUGUUUCUCAGUCUGGUGUGCUGGAUUUUCUGGUAUCUUGGAAACCUAGAGGUGUCGAUAGAGGAGCUGUUUGUGGUUUGAGAUUCUUCAUUCGUCUCCUUUUAUCACCAUCGCUAGAAACGGAAAUUAAAGCACCAUCCACAGGUGUUUGUGUGUUUAACCUUUAUGUGGAAGGACAAACAAGGAGCUACAAUUUUUAGAUAUGACCGUUGAGAAUAAAAAGCUCUUUCAUUUUUAUGCCAGGGG